GGAGGAUCCAAGCGUUAUCCGGAUUUAUUGGGUUUAAAGGGUGCGUAGGCGGCCUAUUAAGUCAGGGGUGAAAGACGGUAGCUUAACUAUCGCAGUGCCUUUGAUACUGAUGGGCUUGAAUGUACUUGAGGUAGGCGGAAUGUGACAAGUAGCGGUGAAAUGCAUAGAUAUGUCACAGAACACCAAUUGCGAAGGCAGCUUACUAAAGUAUGAUUGACGCUGAGGCACGAAAGCGUGGGGAUCAAACAGGAUUAGAUACCCUGGUAGUCCACGCCCUAAACGAUGAACACUCGAUGUUGGCGAUAUACGGUCAGCGUCUAAGCGAAAGCGUUAAGUGUUCCACCUGGGGAGUACGCCCGCAAGGGUGAA
rnacentral:rRNA from 1 species